GGGAGUAUAGCUCAGUGGUAGAGUGUUCGACUGGUGAUCGAGAGGUCCCUGGUUCGAAUCCGUGUGUUUUCU
rnacentral:tRNA from 1 species